AGCGAACGCUGGCGGCAGGCCUAACACAUGCAAGUCGAACGGAUCCUUCGGGAUUAGUGGCGGACGGGUGAGUAACACGUGGGAACGUGCACUUUGGUUCGGAACAACUCAGGGAAACUUGAGCUAAUACCGGAUGUGCCCUUCGGGGGAAAGAUUUAUCGCCAUUGGAGCGGCCCGCGUCUGAUUAGCUAGUUGGUGAGGUAAAGGCUAACCAAGGCGACGAUCAGUAGCUGGUCUGAGGGGAUGAUCAGCCACAUUGGGACUGAGACACGGCCCAAACUCCUACGGGAGGCAGCAGUGGGGAAUCUUGCGCAAUGGGCGAAAGCCUGACGCCGCGACACCGCGUGAGGGAAGAAGCUCUUCGGAGUGUAAACCUCUUUUUUGUGGGACGAUUAUGACGGUACCAUAAGAAUAAGCCACGGCAAACUUCGUGCCAGCCGCCGCCGUAAGAC
rnacentral:rRNA from 1 species